AUCAUCAUCAUUGUCAUAAGGUCGUCGGUCCUACGCAUUCUCCUAUUGCACUUGAUGACAUCCCCCGAGGUAAUUCCCGCUCGGACAUCCGAAUGACGGACUACCUUACGUCUGUGUGGUGGUUUCCCGUUGCCUUCCACAACGCAGUAAUGUGUAUCAGAGUGCCAUACAAACCCUUGUACUCUAUGCCACCCUGAGAGUACUGAAAGAGCUGCAACCCUAUUUCAGGGACUUGGGUCUUUCUUGACCUGAAAAGGGGAAGCAACUGGAAAUCAAUUUGGAUACCACUGAAACAACAAAUUGUAUGCAGUGAUAUUCCUUUUGGAUUUGGUUUGCUCAUCACACUUGUGGACUUUAGAACUCUACUUUCUACUGUUAAUUAAGGUCGACGGUGGAGAAGACAAAGAAGAUCCCGUAGUUAAAAUACUUUAUCUUGCAUGUUCUAUUAGACACA